GCUGUCAUGGUUUCAGUGGGAGAACGCCGCUCUGGUAAGGCGGAGGCCGGCUGUUCGAUCCAGCCUGGCAGCACCA
rnacentral:tRNA from 1 species